CGCCUCCUGGGCCUCGCCCUCACCGGCUCGCGACCCCGCCCUCCUCCCCUGCCGCCGCCUCCAGCCCAAUCCCCUCACAGGCUUCCUCUUUCCCUCCACUCCCCCGACGCCGCCACUUGUGCUUGGCAGAAGGAGUGGCUGCGAUGAUGGAAGAUGCGUGAGGAGGACGAGGAGGAGGCCGUGGUCAUGGCGGCGCGACGGAUAUCGUGUUCGGGCGGCGCAGUUGGUCGAGGCAGAGGUGCCAGCCCGCGGGGUCGCAAUCGAGCUGGGCGUGAUGAGAGGGAGGAGAGGGAUGGGAAGAGUGGGAGGCGCAAGGACAGCGGCGCUUGCCAUCUCAUUCCCCAUCUCUUCUCGUUGCACGUCCCCCAUGAGUUCCUCUUUCUAAUCCCCUUCCUCUCCACAAGUUAUCUUUUUAUUUUCUGAAAUAUGUAUGUUUGCUCAUUGGGCGGCCAUGGAUUCUAGAGAUGGAGGCCUCGACAGGAGGAGCUCGAGCCGAGGAGCGCGCCCUCGAUCCGGGCUCAACAGGGGGAGGGGAGCAGCAGCCGCGCCGGCCUCGUCGCAAUGCGUGCAGCAAGCUGAAGGCGCGGCAAGAGCGGCGGUCAAGACCACGGUCGCGGCUUCCGGGGACCAAGGUCGCUUCAUUCCGUCUCCUCCCCCUUUUUUUUCUUCUCAGGCAACAACAGAUGACAAGAUGCGAUGCCCCAUCUUCAGCUUGCAGGAGGGAACGCGAGCUCUCCUCACUGGUGACGGCGACCUGGCGAGGAGGUCCCUUGUUCUGUGGCCUGCCUCUGCGCGGCCGGCUGGCUGCUCAGGUGCGCGCACCAGUGCCUCUGCUCGCCCAGCCGACUGCUGUCCGCACAGACGCACACCACCCGGCAGCAGCGUGCCGAGCCGCCCCUGUUAGGCGGACUGCUGAAGCCGCCCAGUCCCGCCAGCCGCUCAGCCACUAAACCCGUUGCCUCUUCCGAAAGAGUGUUGCAUGGAGUACCAAGGCUUGUACGUUGCCCAAGGAUUGGACACCCAGUUGCUGAUCUACACCCCCUUAUCUGCAUUCCACACUAUUCAAAGGAGCUCCAGUAAGGUUGCUCGCCAAUGAGCUGGAAGUGUUUUUGUCCUGGGUGCUUGCACGAUUGAGGAAGAGACUGGUUAUUUCUAAAUGUGCUACUGCAGAUAAAAGAUGAACUCGUCCUAUUUUCUUUCUUCAAUCUGGGACAAGAUACAAAAGGUUUAGUAAAGGAGGACUCAAGUCUGCAACCACCAUAGAGAUAUGGCCAUGGAAGUAUGGAACAAUAGUGUGUGGAUGUUCUGUGCAAUUUUUCUCUCAUCGAGUAUCAGUGUUGUAUCUGCUCGAUCAUGGAGCUAUGACUCUGUUACAUUGGGCUAAAGAUUGAUUGCUUGCACGGGUAUGUCAAGGUGUAGGUGCAGACUCAUUGCUGGUGUUGAAUACUGGAGCAAGAAUGAUGAUCAAUGCUCUAAUGAACCUGCAUGAUGUAGCAUUACUAUUGGGAUAUAUGGGUUAGGCACAUACUCUUUUUUGACAGUAGGUUAGACAAGUGUUUUUUUUUUUUUAGUUUUUCUCUGUCGAUUUCUCUUUUACUGUAAAGCAAAGGCUGAUUGUUAGUCUUUGUUGAGUCAAGAGAUUUUUUUACUUGGAAGAUCGCAACAUUGCCGAUAGAAGAAUGAGUUUUAUAGCAAAUCAGGUUUUGACUUCUAUACUAAUGGUUACAUCACCAUGAUGGUUGGAAUAUAAUUAAGACUUUGUUCGCACUUAAUACUGGAUGAUGAGAUCAUCUAUGAUAGUGAUGGGCGGUGCACUGUGAUUGUGAGUAUCAUAGAUCGCAUUAACACAUGCGUUUUUCCGCCAUGCUCACUAUCCAGUUAUGCCACACCCAAUUACUAUCAGCAGGGUAUAUUAACUAUAUGUAAUUGGUCGGCUAUACGACAGCAGUGUACCACUGUCCUGUGUUGGUGCUUAUCCAAUCAAACAUAGUUAUGUACUAAGUUCUUAUAUUAUGGGAUGAAGGGAGUAACUAACAUUACGUAACCAACAUCAUUUUGCCCUGUCUAUCCAUGUCUUUUGGCUUGGUUUUAACACUAGCUGCAUACAACCUAUCAGUGCUGCUAUAUAGAAUCCAUGUUUUAUUUCCUCUUGCAUUUUGAAACAGAAUCUGGUGGACCUCACAAGCUUGUGGUAUUGUAUAAGUUGUAAAGUUACUUCUUAUGUUUAUAUUUUCAAGUUCACACUUGGGCGCUGUUAGGAGCUAUGAUAUUUCAUUGUACCAACAAACUCCAUCGGUUGAAACAGUUUUUAGAAUACACUUCUUAAAAUGGAAAUUCCCAGCAAAAAUAUGUAGUUAAUGGUCACCAAAAAUAAUAUUACUAAGCUAAUAAUUUCUGGCUCGAUUCGGGUCCUUGCGCCAUGGGCGCAACGAGUCAUCUAGUAGAUAGGAAAGGGGAG